AUGGCUGCAUCAACAAAUACACCAGCUCUUGACAAGCCUAACCCAGCUGAAGAUUGGACAGUUGUAUUGCCUCGUGGUGGAAAGCCGAAAAGAAAUUUUCAUAAAGUUAUCAUACGUGUAGGGCAAAAACAAGAACAAUUGUGGACUCCUUCAGAUACUGAAACCAAUCCCGAGAGGGAAUCUAGAUUGAUGCAGAAGAUACAAAGCUGCAUUAAGAAACUUGAGAGCUCCUCCUUCUGGCUGGCAUUUUUGAAUCAGUUACAAACGCCUGAAAUAUUUGAUUGGUUUCAAAAACGUGUGGGCUCAGAAGGAAAGAUGCAGAUGGUAAUAUAUGGAAUUGGUAGCAUAGAAUCGUUUGAGCCUCCUCGAUUACAGCUUAGUCUUGCAAUCUUAAUGAAAAGAAUGUUUAGUUGGAUUGGGGAGGUUGAGGUAUUUGAUCCAGUGAUCUCUUUGGCAGAAUCUAGGGUACUGACAGCUCUUGGCUGUUCUGUCCUAACAAUCAAUGAACAGGGUCGACGUCAAGCUUUAACACCUAUGAUGUUCUUCAUGCCACAUUGUGAAGCUGAACUGUACGACAAUCUUCUAGAGGCAAAUUGGUGUCCUGAUCUAUUGGAUAACAUUACACUGUUUGGGAACAGUUUUGAGGCAUAUGAACAACACUUGUCGGUGUGCAAAAAUCUUAGUCUUGCUGAUUCUAGGAAACAUAUCCUCGCAGUCAGGAAGUUCGUCAAGGAGCUUGCAAUUGAUUCUUCUUCAGAUGAUUAUUUCCGAGCCUUCCAUGGUUCGAGUUGGCAUUUUUUCAAACUUGAUCCUCAUUCAGAUUUAUGUGAUGCUAGACCAUAAACUCUUUCUUGUUUUCUGGAUCAUACUCUUCAUUGAAACUUGAAUAUCACAUUUAAACAAUGCUUGAAUCUCACACAUGGAGGUGGGAGAGUUGAUGCUUUGUGUUCUUUGACUUCGGGCUUCCUUAUGACUCUCUUAAUAAGUGCCAUACAUGAUAAACUGUUGCAGCCAGUGUCAUCCUGAAAAGCUCUGCGUGUGUGGUCCUUCCUUUGGCAUGUGUUGAUGCCCAAGCUAUUUCUCACCCCAUCCCAAGCAAUGUCUGCUGAUACCUUGCCACAACAAUAUCCUCUGCCAAAGGCCAACUGUGAAUUUACAUUCAAAGAACAAGUGUUGGUGAGUUUCAGGUUCUAUAGAACACAGUGGACAUAGCAAACCAGUGGCAAUACCCCAUUUACUCAAUCUAUCUUUAGUGUAUAGCCUCUUUUGAAUAGCAAGAUACAAGAUAAAUUUCCACUCAGGGCUCCCCUGGUUGUUGCAAGUUAAUCUUCUCCACACAACUUUAGAGUGCUGUCCCCUUAACUGAUUAUACAGUCCUUUUAUAGAAUAGGACUCUUCUCCCAUUUCUUCAUUCACAUUAAGACCAGCUUCAGAGAGCCAUUGGGUUGCUUGUAAUAUUUUCCUGACAAUCCAAGAGGCUUGCUUAGCCUCCACUUCCCAUGGCCUCUUCCCCUUCAAGUAGUAAGUGUGUACCCAUACAAUCCAUAGCUUUUCUUCAUCAUUGCCAAGCUCCAUGUAUGUUUUAAUAUAGCUACAUUAUUCCAUAGGAAUAUAUCGAUAAUGUUGAGUCCACCUGCUGAUUUUGGUAAGCACAGUUGGUCCCAUGCUAUUCGGUUUUUCCUCUUUCUUUGGAUAUUACCAGUCAUUUCCUACAAAGAGACUCAACUUGCUAAAGUAUCUUCUUUGGUAGGGGAAAAAUUUGAGACCCAAAAGCUUGGAUUGCAUGUUAAACACUCUGAAUUAAUUGUAAUCUCCCAGCAUAAGAUAGAAAUUUAGUUGUCCAACAAGUAAUUCUACCAAUCAUCUUGUCUAGGCUGACAAUUGACUUAUUGUCAGUUUUUUUGGAGCUCAAAGGGACCCCAAGAUAUUUGAAUGGUAGGGAACCCAAAGUAAGCCCCAGUUGCUGUAAUUUGAUGUUUUGAGCAUCUGCUGCUACUUCCCCAAAAUAAACACAGCUCUUGGCUUCAUUAGCUAUUAAUCCCGAGACUCUCGAAACUGCUGGAAGCAUUCAAAGAGCAGCUUGGCUGAGAUUGUCACGUCUACAAAAUAUUAAGAGGUCGUUAGUAAAACUCAAUUGGAUGAUGUUUAGUUUUUGGCACCUUGGGUGAUAAUUGAAAUCUGGUGCUUAGAGUUUUGAGCAGCCUAGUGAGAUAGUCCAUGCCUAACACAAAGAGGUAGGGAGAGAGAGGGUUUCCUUGUCUCACCCCUCUUUUAGCCUGAAAAGGAUCGGCCGGAUAGCCAUUAAUGAUGAUAGCAUAGGUCACAGUUCUUACACAUCACAUUACCCAAUCCACAAACUUUUUAGGACAGUUCAUACUUCAAGAAACGACCACUCUAAAGUGUCAUAGGCCUUUUGUAUAUCAAUUUUGAAUAGACACCUUGGAGAUAUAUCUUUCCUACCAUACCCUUUUAUUAGUUCACGACUUAGAAGCACAUUAUCAUGAAGCAUCCUCCCCGGAACAAAAGCUGCCUGAGACUUAUCUACAAGGUAGUCCAUAAGAGGUUGUAAUCUAUGUGUAAGCAUUUUCGAGAUAAUUUUAUAGAUGGUGGUUCAUCAAGAUAUGGGUCUAUAGUCUUUAAUUGAACCAGGGUGCUUAAUUUUGGGUAAUGGUAUUGGUUGCAAAAAAGUGAAGUACAGCUUCAGUUACCUCCUUACCUAUUACUGACCAGCUUUGUUUGAAAAAAUGGGAGUUGAAACCAUCAAUUCCUGGAGCCUUAUCAUCAGCAAUCUCUUUAAGGGCAGUCUCAACAUCUAUGUCAGUGAAUGGCUGAAUAAGUUGUAGUUGUUGAGCUCUUGUUGGGCAUUCCUGAUCACUGCAGGGUGAAUAACAGGUAAAUUAGGGGCUGCUUGUCCUAAUAAGGUCUUAUAGAAAUCUACCACUUCAGGUUUGAUAUCCUCUGGGUCUCUGAUAAUAGUGCCAUUAGCUGCAAUGAACACUUUGAUCUGAUUUUGUGCUUUCCUUCCCUUCAUCUGUGCAAAGAAACAAGAGGUGUUUUUUUUGAGAAGGUAACAUUUGUAUUAUAAACCAGCACUUAGGUAGUGCAUAAAACCUCUUUACAAAGUGAGCAUCUAGAUAAAAGAAAAUAGAAAAGGCUCCCCAUCCUAGAAAGCUUCUAAAACUUCUAGGAUAUCGUUAUCCUCUACAGGGGAGUUCUUUGUACACCAAAAACACAAAAGCAAAAUACAGUUUGUCUUAAUCGUCUAAUUGCUCUACUUUUGUCUUCAAAACUUCUAGCAUUUCUCUCCUUCCAAACAGUCCACCAAAUACAAGAUGGGAUAAUUCUCCAAUAGUUCUAGUUCUUUGCUCCCUUCCCAGCUUCCUCCCAACUAGAUAGAGUGUCAACAAUCUUUCUAGGCAUUACCCAUUGUAUGCGUCUGAGAUUGAUGAAAAUCUUCCAUAGUUGGCCGGUGAAUCUGCAAUGCAAAAAUAAAUGUCCCACUGUCUCAGCUACCUCUCCACAUAGACAACAAUGUGUAACUAAAAUUAUAUUCCUCUUCCUCAAAUUUUCAUGUGUUAACACAACCUCCUUUGCUAACAACCAUGAGAAACAUGCAACUUUCUGAGGGGUAUUGGAUUUCCAAAGUUGUUUCCAUGGCCACCUGCUAGCCUGUGGCAUUGUUCUAUUUAGUAACUUGUAUCCAGAGUUGGCCUUAUAUAAAUCCCUUUAUUAUGUUUAUUUCCCCAAAGUUUGUCCUUCGAGUUCUACCUUUCUUCGGAUUUCCCAGUCAAGUUUUCGUCUGAGGCUUAAAUCCCAAUCUUGUGGAGACCACAUAUCAGCCAUAGUUUUGUCUUGUUGUUGAGCAAGAACAGACAAGUCUGGGAACAUCUCUGUAAGACUCCUGUUGCCUAACCACCGGUCUUUCCAAAAGAAAGUUUUGUUACCAUUAUAGACUUUGAUGGCGACGUAGUUUUGCAUUAUAGGCUACCAAUUCCAGAUUGACCUCCAAACAGUUACACCAUAAGGAUUGAUUGCUUCUUUGGUAACCCAACCAUUCACAUCCCCAUACUUCAACCCGAUCACCCUUUUUCAUAAAGUUUGAGACUCUUGAGCAUAUCUCCAUAACCACUUCAUUUUCAGUGCUUUACUUUGAUUCUUCAAGUUUUUGAUACCCAAGCCUCCUUGUUUUUUACUGGUUAUGAAAACUUUCCACUUCACUAGGUAAUACCCUUUCUUGGUUUUGUUACCUUUGACCUCCUGAUUUUAUCCAACCUUUGUACCACACUUGCUGGGAUGAGGAAUAAGGUCAUCAUAUAGGUUGGGAGGGCAUCAAGAACAACAUUGAUCAAAGUAAGUCUGCCUCCAAGAGAGAGAUGUUGAGCGUUCCAUUUGGACAACUUUCUUUCACAUUUCUCCAAAACAUUCUCCAAGAUUUCUUUUGAUCUUGAUUUGGCCCCCAAGAAAUAAGGUGUUUGAAUCACCAAGUUUAACCCAUUGUACUCUUGAUUUUGAUUUCUUCCUGUAGAUGCUUUCCUUAAUUUGACUUCAUUUGUUUAAUUGCAGUUUCAACUCCUAUUCGUCAGCAAACAAAUCUGGUGAUACAGGAGCAUUGCCUGUCUCACCCCUUUCAAAUUCUGCCAUACACCCCUCAAUCCUUGUCCAUGUAUCACCCACUUACCCUGAACUUUAGCUUUGAAUUCAGGGUGCUGAGCAAUGCAAUUGUAAAAUUUGAAAGGCCCGUGCCUGUGCCUGUUAUCAGCUGCUUUCUCCAAGGGGAUGCCGAGCGGGGAGUGAUCAGAGAACUGAGGAUGCAUCACCUAUACUUGGGAUGGAGGCAUGGUCAAUAGCCAGUCUGCAUUUACUAAUGCCUUGUCAAUCCUGCUAUACACAUGUCCAUUCGUCCAAGUGAAUGAUCUCCCUAUUGCUGACAGUUCUGGAAUAUUACAGUAGACUUGUAUUUAUAUACUUGAAAUCCAACUAGAGCAAUUCAAAUGUUUUCUUCAAUUAGGACUAUC